UAAUCGGGGCAGGGUGAGUCGACCCCUAAGGCGAGGCCGAAAGGCGUAGUCGAUGGGAAACGGGUUAAUAUUCCCGUACUUGGUGUUACUGCGAAGGGGGGACGGAGAAGGCUAUGUUGGCCGGGCGACGGUUGUCCCGGUUUAAGCGUGUAGGUAUGUGUUCCAGGUAAAUCCGGUUCACUUUAACACUGAGGCGUGACGACGAGGCACUACGGUGCUGAAGCAACAAAUGCCCUGCUUCCAGGAAAAGCCUCUAAGCAUCAGGUAACAUCAAAUCGUACCCCAAACCGACACAGGUGGUCAGGUAGAGAAUACCAAGGCGCUUGAGAGAACUCGGGUGAAGGAACUAGGCAAAAUGGUGCCGUAACUUCGGGAGAAGGCACGCUGACACGUAGGUGAAGUGAUUUACUCACGGAGCUGAAGUCAGCCGAAGAUACCAGCUGGCUGCAACUGUUUAUUAAAAACACAGCACUGUGCAAACACGAAAGUGGACGUAUACGGUGUGACGCCUGCCCGGUGCCGGAAGGUUAAUUGAUGGGGUCAGCGCAAGCGAAGCUCCUGAUCGAAGCCCCGGUAAACGGCGGCCGUAACUAUAACGGUCCUAAGGUAGCGAAAUUCCUUGUCGGGUAAGUUCCGACCUGCACGAAUGGCGUAAUGAUGGCCAGGCUGUCUCCACCCGAGACUCAGUGAAAUUGAACUCGCUGUGAAGAUGCAGUGUACCCGCGGCAAGACGGAAAGACCCCGUGAACCUUUACUAUAGCUUGACACUGAACAUUGAGCCUUGAUGUGUAGGAUAGGUGGGAGGCUUUGAAGUGUGGACGCCAGUCUGCAUGGAGCCGACCUUGAAAUACCACCCUUUAAUGUUUGAUGUUCUAACGUGGACCCGUGAUCCGGGUUGCGGACAGUGUCUGGUGGGUAGUUUGACUGGGGCGGUCUCCUCCUAAAGAGUAACGGAGGAGCACGAAGGUUGGCUAAUCCUGGUCGGACAUCAGGAGGUUAGUGCAAUGGCAUAAGCCAGCUUGACUGCGAGCGUGACGGCGCGAGCAGGUGCGAAAGCAGGUCAUAGUGAUCCGGUGGUUCUGAAUGGAAGGGCCAUCGCUCAACGGAUAAAAGGUACUCCGGGGAUAACAGGCUGAUACCGCCCAAGAGUUCAUAUCGACGGCGGUGUUUGGCACCUCGAUGUCGGCUCAUCACAUCCUGGGGCUGAAGUAGGUCCCAAGGGUAUGGCUGUUCGCCAUUUAAAGUGGUACGCGAGCUGGGUUUAGAACGUCGUGAGACAGUUCGGUCCCUAUCUGCCGUGGGCGCUGGAGAACUGAGGGGGGCUGCUCCUAGUACGAGAGGACCGGAGUGGACGCAUCACUGGUGUUCGGGUUGUCAUGCCAAUGGCACUGCCCGGUAGCUAAAUGCGGAAGAGAUAAGUGCUGAAAGCAUCUAAGCACGAAACUUGCCCCGAGAUGAGUUCUCCCUGAGACUUUAGGUCUCCUGAAGGAACGUUGAAGACGACGACGUUGAUAGGCCGGGUGUGUAAGCGCAGCGAUGCGUUGAGCUAACCGGUACUAAUGAACCGUGAGGCUUAACCUU
rnacentral:rRNA from 1 species